rnacentral:tRNA from 1 species
GGAGCGGCAUACUGGCGGGCGCGGUAUUCCUCAUUACGCGGAGGACGCGCCGCAGGUUCGAUUCCUGCCCGCUUCA